AAGUCGUAACAAGGUUUCCGUAGGUGAACCUGCGGAAGGAUCAUUACCGAGUUAGGGUCCCCCAAAAGGGCCCGAACCUCCCACCCUUUGUCGUCGAACAAAACUCUUGUUGCUUUGGCGGGACCGCCCCGUGCCCGAGAGGGCCGGGCUGCCGGGUCCUCACCGACCGGGUAUGCGCCCGCCAGAGGUAAACUCAACUCUUAUUGUCAAAAAACACAGUCUGAGCAAAACUUGAUAAAUCAAUCAAAACUUUCAACAACGGAUCUCUUGGUUCUG
rnacentral:misc_RNA from 1 species